UUACGGCCACAUCACGUUCAAACAACUGUUCUUGUAAGAUCCCUGCAGUUAAGCAACGUCCAGCCUGGUCAGUACCUAGAUGGGUGAGCACUUGGGAAUACCAGGUGUUGGAA